UACGUAGGGAGCAAGCGUUUGUCCGGAAUCAUUGGGCGUAAAGCGCGCGUAGGUGGCCUCAUAAGUCCGCUGUGAAAGUCAAAGGCUCAACCUUUGAAAGCCGGUGGAUACUGUGGGGCUAGAGUACGGAAGAGGCGAGUGGAAUUCCUGGUGUAGCGGUGGAAUGCGCAGAUAUCAGGAGGAACACCAAUAGCGAAGGCAGCUCGCUGGGACGUUACUGACACUGAGGCGCGAAAGCGUGGGGAGCGAACAGGG
rnacentral:rRNA from 1 species